rnacentral:rRNA from 1 species
UACGUAGGAGGCAAGCGUUGUCCGGAAUUACUGGGCGUAAAGCGCGUGUAGGUGGUGGGACAAGUCUGCUGUGAAAGCGCCUGGCUUAACCGGGCGAGGUCGGCGGAAACUGUCCGACUAGAGGACGGUAGGAGGGGGGUGGAAUUCCCGGUGUAGUGGUGAAAUGCGCAGAUAUCAGGAGGAACACCGGUGGCGAAGGCGGGUCUCUGGGCAGUAACUGACGCUGAGGAGCGAAAGCGUGGGGAGCGAACAGG